rnacentral:rRNA from 1 species
GAACGGUAGCACAGAGAGCUUGCUCUUGGGUGACGAGUGGCGGACGGGUGAGUAAUGUCUGGGAAACUGCCCGAUGGAGGGGGAUAACUACUGGAAACGGUAGCUAAUACCGCAUAACGUCUUCGGACCAAAGUGGGGGACCUUCGGGCCUCACACCAUCGGAUGUGCCCAGAUGGGAUUAGCUAGUAGGUGGGGUAAUGGCUCACCUAGGCGACGAUCCCUAGCUGGUCUGAGAGGAUGACCAGCCACACUGGAACUGAGACACGGUCCAGACUCCUACGGGAGGCAGCAGUGGGGAAUAUUGCACAAUGGGCGCAAGCCUGAUGCAGCCAUGCCGCGUGUAUGAAGAAGGCCUUCGGGUUGUAAAGUACUUUCAGCGGGGAGGAAGGCGAUGAGGUUAAUAAUCUUAUUGAUUGACGUUACCCGCAGAAGAAGCACCGGCUAACUCCGUG